rnacentral:rRNA from 1 species
AGGACGAACGCUGGCGGCGUGCUUAACACAUGCAAGUCGAACGAGGCGCUUGCGCCUAGUGGCGAACGGGUGAGUAACACGUGAGCAACCUGCCCUUGGCUCUGGGGAUAGCCUCCGGAAACGGGGAUUAAUACCGGACAUGACCUUCUCCUGCAUGGGGGAGGGUGGAAAGUUUUUCGGCCAGGGAGGGGCUCGCGGCCUAUCAGCUUGUUGGGGGGGUAACGCCCACCAAGGCGACGACGGGUAGCCGGCCUGAGAGGGCGACCGGCCACACUGGGACUGAGACACGGCCCAGACUCCUACGGGAGGCAGCAGUGGGGAAUUUUGGGCAAUGGGCGAAAGCCUGACCCAGCAACGCCGCGUGAAGGAUGAAAUCUUUCGGGAUGUAAACUUCGCAAGAGUAGGAAGAAUAAGUAGAGGAUAAUACCCUCUAUGAUGACGGUACUAUUGUAAGCUCCGGCUAACUCCGCGCCAGCAGCCGC